rnacentral:lncRNA from 1 species
CUUGGAGAAAGGGAAAACAAAGGGACACAUUAAAUCAAUCAAAAUGCUGCCUUAAAACUUUCACAGCUUCCUUGCACUUAGCAAUUCUGGGGCUUCAGCCACCAAACAGGUUUUAUUUAAAAAACGAGUGUCCUCAAUUUCCUGCAGUUUGCGUUCCAGGCCCAUCCUCGCUGCCUGCCUUCCCUGCGCACAAGCCGAAGCCCAGGCGAGGGGCAGCAAGCGCGCACAUUCUCUCAGUCGUUCUCUACCACUUCCGUACCCAAGACGUAGGGCGAAAUCUGGUGUCCAGGUCAACCCCUGAAACGGCAAGACGAUCAUUCUCAGACUAAGCUUCCGGAUGCUAGGACCACCAAGAACCCCGAGGCAGAGCCCCCUGCCUCCAAGGCUGACACUCGGGCUGCAGAGACGGAGGGAUACAUUCCAAAGGAAGAGAAAAUGGACUAGGCGCCAAAAGCCUGCAGGGCUGCAGGGCUCCCCAGAGGUGCAAGUUGUCAAGAGUGAGGGCAAAGCAAACCUGAGCUCGAGCAGAGGCAGCUUCCAGAAGACGGGACGUCAAGCCCCAAGGAAACGCACAGGGGAGAAGCGCUGAGACUCAAGAAGGACCCCGGACGGUGCACGAGGGGUGAGAGCACUGGCUCUUAAAUGCCCCCCCCACCCUUCUCCAAAGAAAUGAGGAAAAUCAGACAACGUGCUGAGGUUCUCACGGUGCUCAACGCAUUGUUUUUUUAGGUUAAAACGUCCUCCUUUUAGAUGAAAUGAUCAAGACAGGAGAUGGUUGGGACUGGUUUUUAAUGCCCUUGCUUGGCAAAUGGAAAAGUCGGCGACUCCAUGUGUCACUGCCCAAGACUGGCCUUAGGUCUCGGCCAUGCAAGCUGAGUCCUUGGGAGCCAUCAGACAACACCAGGCGCUGGGCGAAGGGGCCGGAGUGGAGUGGCAGGACUGGCAGAGAUGGGCCGGCGAAACGAUGCCGGGGUCAAGGCUCCAUCUCAGAGGGACGAACUUUACCCUAUGGCUGUGGGAACCCACAGCCCCCCUUUGAAAAAAACUCUGCGAUGAAAUAACCUUAACCAUAUUUUUUAAAACUCUUGGCAGCAGUUUUAAAAAAUCGAUGAUUAGAGGCAUAUAACCCACGCAGGAGGCUACUGCAGUGCAGUCUCAGGGCCCGAGACGAGCCGCGUGGAGGUCAGGAAGACACCUCCCAGGGCCCAACCUGGCUGCGAGCAGCGAGGGCGAAGGUCAGGGAGGUGCUGGGCUUCCCGCUCGGGCCAGAGAGCGGGCCGGGGAGGCGGGUCACUGCGAUGCCGGAAAAACUCCCAGUACAGGAGAGAACAAAGAGAAUCCAGCAGGAAGGGACUGGUUACUGAGUAGCAGGAUUAAGCAAGGAGUUCUGUUUAAAAAAAAACAAAGACUGUCCCUGGCCAGAAAGGAGCAGAUGGGAAAAAGGAGAAGGUUCUGGAGGAGUGGGAAAGGCAGACCGGGCGCCCGCCAGGCACAGGAAGAUGAAACACUUGUGGUUGAACGGAAUACAUAACAUAUGUAGCCAUAUAAAUGUACGUAUUCAUUGUCAAAUUGGCCGCUGAUGCGGGGGAAAGAGCUUGAAAAGCCUUCACGUAGAGGUUACAAGUCUACACAAAACUUCACCAAAUACAAAACAAGAGAAAAACAAAACCCAUCUUUCUCUCUCUUUCAAAGAGCCUCCCUAUAAAACAAACACGUCAGAUGCUGGGUAAAACAUUUUACUGAAUCAACGUGGUUUAGAGCAGCACCGUCCAGUUCAAAGCUGGCCAUGCCCAAGGCAUGCAGAAAGUUCCCAGGCCGGAGAUCAAACCCUCACCACAGCAGUGACCCAAGCCGCUGCAGUGACCAUGCCAGAUCCUUAACCCGCUGCACAACCAGGGAACUCCAUCUGGUAGCUUCAAGCCACCCCUGGAAGCUGAGCACUUGACAGGAGGCUAAUGUAACUAGGGAACUAAAUUUUAAAAGGUUAUUUAAGUGGGAGUUCCUGUCGUGGUGCAGUGGUUAACGAAUCCAACUAGGAACCAUGAGGUUGUGGGUUCGAUCCCUGGCCUUGCUCCGUGGGUUAAGGAUCCAGCGUUGCUGUGAGCUGUGGUGUAGGUUGCAGACGCAGCUCGAAUUCUGCGUUGCUGUGGCUCUGGCGUAGGUCAGCAGCUACAGCUCCGAUUUGACCCCUAGCUUGGGAACCUCCAUAUGCCACGAGAGCGGCCCAAGAAAUGGCAAAAAGACCAAAAUAAAUAAAUAAAUAAAUAAAUGGUUAUUUAAGUUAAAUUUAAGCAGCCCCAUGUGGCUAGCAGGCUGCUGUAUUGGACAGCGUAGGUCUAUGGUAUUUUUUUCUCUAGUAAUCUUGAGUGAACAGGUUGUAGUCCUUAGCUUAUUUGGGGCAUGGGGGGAGAGUGCAUAAAUUUUUUUAGGGCCGCACCCGAGGCAUAUGGAGGUUUCCAGGCUAGGGGUCCAAUUGGAGCUACAGCUGUCGGCCCACACCACAGCCACAGCAACGCCAGAUCCAAGCCGUGUCUGUGAGCUACACAGCAGCUCAGGGCAACAGCUCAUGGCUGGCUCAUGGCCGGAUCCCUAACCCACUGAGCGAGGCCAGGGAUCAAACCCGCAACCUCAUGGUUCCUGGUCGGAUGGUUUCCGCUGCGCCACAACGGGAACUCGGAGAAUCCAAAAUUUGAUCAGAUUUUCAAACCUUCCCUUUUCUUGCGAGGAUAAGCUGAACCACGUAAUUCACGUCGGAUACAUGGCCAUCAUUCAGCAAAUGUUAGAGCAGUCAACUCCCCUGCCCCCGCCCCCCGCCGCGCCCCAUGCCUGCUGUGAACAGUUAUAAUUUGAGGACAGAACUCCUCCCACAGAAAGGAGGGUCAGGAGCGCCAUCGCUCCAAGCGUCUGUCUGUGUCACGGUGUUUACGUGGUUUAAUCCAGAAAUAACUCAGGGAUCCAAGGAGCUUCCUGAUGCCGUUAGGCUGAAACCGAGUACAUCAGGUCACCAUCUCGAGGCCGCCAAAGGCACUGAGGGGGUUUUCUGUAAGAUCCGUGGGUACAGGUGCGAAUGCGGCCCGAGCACUACCCAUUCCUGGGACUCUGAAAGGGGUCCCAGAAUAGGGGGUGGCCUCUCAUGGAGGGUAUUUGUUUUGCAAGUAACCAAAGGGAAUGGGGGCGUCAGUGAGCUUUUUAAAUAGAAACCAAGAAUUAAAACUGAGUCCCUCUGUGCACCAAAAUGUCCUUGCUUAAAUUGCAAGGCGUAAGUAAAAUAAAUUGGCUAUAAAAGGGAGGAUUAUAUCAACUGUAAAAUUCGACCCGGGGACUAGGAAAAGUGACUGUGAUUAAAAGGUGUGUGUGGUGGGGGUGGCUUGAUCCUUGUUUUCUCAUGUGUCCUUUGAAGGUGAAAACGAACCAAUUUUCUCUGGCCUUCAAGCUGUCAAAGAGGUUGAAAAAAAAAACAAAACCUGUCUGAAAAAUAAACAAAUGGGACCUGCAAUCUCCCUUCAGGAGAUGGGGAGAAAAUACUCCAUCUAAAGCCCUUAAGUAUUUCCUGGUGACUUUACCUCAAUUAGUAACUAUCCACUAGCUAUGAGACUGGGGGUAGGGGUGACAGGUGGGUGCCAGAGGUGUUCCCGAUCACCAGCUAGGUGAGAAGAAAGAAGAAAACGUGAGACGCUAAGAGAAUUCAGUGUUGACUGUGCAAGACAAUUUUACGGCCAGAAAACCCACUAGCAUGUGCUAAGUGGAGGGGCCUCCAAGGUGGAAGAGGCUGGUGGGGCUGAGGCCAGAAAGGACCACGAGGAGGCCGGAGCCCGUCCUGCUUUGUGGGAGCCAGGAGCGGGCGGGGGGCGGGGAGUGGGGUGGGCAGGAGGGGGUGUGGGCUCCGGGCGGGCGUGAGGAUGACGUCAGCUUUGAGGAAACCUGUUUGAACAUGGUAUGGGGCGGCAGGGGAGGGAGGCCAGGCUCGAAAUGGGAACAAAGGGAACAGAGGGAAAGAUAAACCUGAAAGCCUCUCAAAGAACUGCAGAGACCUGGGGGUGGCGGGUAACACUGCAGAGCAGAGAGCUGAGCAGGAAGUCACUCUGGCCACAAGCUCCACUGCCCGGGGCACCAGCGCGGGGAUGGGAAGAGGUUUUCGACUGUUAAGGUGGUACACUCGGCAAGUGCAGAGAUGGAGUGGGGUGAGAAGGGAAGGUCUCGGGACGAGGGGACCGGGGUACGGGGAGCAAUCAGGCUCAUGAGUGCAGGUGGGCUAGAACCCGCCCUGGGGCGGGGGUGGGGGCCGAGAUUCAGAGACAAGAGGGUCCAGAAGAGUGCCCAUUCUGAGCCGCAGACACAGGAACAAAGGCUGGCGGGCACGAGGUCCCCAGGAAGGGGGAGGACCCGGUAUCCUAAUAGAUGGGAAAACAUGAGCAACAAGGGGGCAUAAAGCGCUUCUGAGUCCGAAAGAUGCAAGAAUCAGGAAAACACCUGGGGGAGCUGAAGGCAGCUCACAGUGGAAUGGCCUUAACCUUGAGCACACAGUAGGCACUUAACUAUCCUACCGAUUAGCAAUCUCAAAACAGGCAACAGGUCGUACGCUGUGCGUAGGAGGAGGAGAAAGGGGAACUGAUGCCUUCAGGAGCAAAGGAGCCCAGGGAGCCUGGGAAGAGACUGCGGGAGGGGUGGUAAAUCAUGAGCCAUUUACCACCCCAUGCUCUCGAGGGGCUGGGGUCAACACGGCUUGGGGGUCGGGUGGCCCUCUGGAGCCUCCUACUCAGGCUGAGUCUGGCAUCCUCCUUUCUACUCUGGAUGGGUGGCUGAGGAGAAGGGAGGGAAACCGUGUUAUUUCAAAUGGCUGCAUCUUUUAUUCCUGCUAUUUGAGACAAGCCUGGUAUGUUUCCUCCAAGAGAUGCCCAAUCCAUUCCAUCUACUCACAGCAAGGGCACCAGGUCUCCCAGAGGAGGGAAAACCUUGGCUUUCAUAGGUCCCCCCACCUCCACCCGCAAGGCUGAACUUUGCAACUCCAACCCAGAAUCACCCCGGUGCAGGACACAGCCAGGAAGCCUGCACAGGACCGAGGCGCACGGCCCAGCCUGAGCAUGCGUCCUCCAAGGUCAGCUGGUCCCAGCAAAUCUGCACGCAGGGCUCGCCGAUUCAAUUACUGUGAGUUCAGUUGCUCUUUUUUAGGUCAGUUCUUUCUUCUUUUGUUUAGAUCUGACUCAAGAUUUACUACAAUUAUCCGCACCUCUGUGAGAGGACCUAAACAAAUUAAACUGUUCAAAGUGAUGAAGGCAACGGGAAACAAGAACCUGGAUCUUUAAAAAAAUACACAAAUGGUCUCCUCCCUCCCCCUUCACUAUCUUCCUUCUCUUCAAUUACUCAAGUAGACUAGCAACUGUUUCUCUCAGGAAAACUCUUGACUCUAAGUCUGAAUGUGAAAACCUUGUGGUUAAGCCCUGGCUUGCAGCAGACUAAAAAUUUCAGCAAUUCUGGAAUGAAAUGUUAUGUUCAGAGCAACACGAAGCACCGCAGCUGUUCCAGCCAACACGAAAACCGAAAGGGGUGAUGCUAUCUUUAUCCUCUACCUACAGGCAGGGCUGCCCGGGGACCAGCUCAGUCCUAGGCUGCUAAAGCACAGGGACAGGAGCAGCAAAGGAGCACAGGGGCCAGCUGAGCCACCUAAGCGGCCACACACAACAGACCCACCUGGAAGAGAGAAAAUGCAGUUCAUCACCACAAACUUGAAAACGAUGCAAGGAAACACAGCUGCUUGAAAAGCCGUUCUCAAUGCUGCUUGGAAAAUCCUUUUCAAUCAGCUCGAAACUCAAAAAGAUCAGAUUGCAUCUAACUCGACCUGAAUUGCCCAAGUGGAAGGAGACCCCUUUUAUCCAUUUUCUUGGGAAAAAAGACACAGUCGUCUAUUCACACUCAGAAAGCUCGUCUUGAGACCACCUCGUGGAAGCAGCCCCAGAGGCGCGUCUUAGCAGACAGAUGAUGAUGGAAACUGGAAGAAGACUCAGAAGGGACGGGGCUGAGAACAGGGCACUCUCACGGCCAAAGCUUGCCCACCGGUUAACGGAGGAAAGUGCUCCUGGUGUGACGGACCCAGGGCCCGCUGAGCAAACACCUCCCACCAGCAACCUCGUUCGGCCUCUGCCAGGCCCUGCUCGGGUCUAAGCGCCUGGGCCGCACGACUGCCUGGCACACACCCCCAGGACUGGCCACGGCCGUCACAGCCCACAACACACGCAAACCACCAACGAAUGAAGCUGUGGUGAGGGGGCGCAGCUCGCCGGGGCACUGCCACCAACACCCCACGCUUCCUGCUCAUUCGGGCAGACUGUCUCCAUUCCGGAGAAAGUGGAAAAACUUCCACAGGGUUGCUACCCUGUGAUGGGCAGGCAGCAUCGCACCACAGGGAAGGAGUGGACGCCAGGGGCUGCACUGCUCGGGUUCGAAUCCUGCCUCUUCCCCUCCUCUGCCGCGGCGGCACUGCUCCUGGUUACAGAGCCUCUCUGCCUCAGGUCCCCCACCUGCAGAGGCGGGGUGCGGGCCGCUGCGAAGCAGGUACAUACAGUCUGGGACCUCGUGCAAACGCCCCACGUGCCUGCUGUUCCCAGCACGGCUCCCACUGAGCAUCCCGUGCUGUGCAGGCCCAGCAACAAGCGCACAGCAGCACUUUAGGGCUGAUCCACCACCAGUUCAACAGGUGCUGAAGACAUUCGGUUCCCCCAAGACGGUGGUUCUCAAACUUUAGCAGCAAGCAUCCAGAGCGACAACCGCAACAGAUUUCUGGGCCCCGCCUCCAGUUUCUGACUCAGAAGGUCGGGGGUGGGGCCUAAGAAUUUGUGUUUCUAACAAGAUCCCAGGUGAUGGUGCUGCUGCCCAUGCUGGUCUGAGGCUGCAGCCCUCAGAGAAGCACUGCUCUGAGGACCGGUUACUCCUGGUAUUCUGUGCUGCAGGCCUAAGCCUUACCUAGCUUAUUUAUCUGCAGUGAGCCAGGAGGAGAUAAAAUAAGGUGAAUGGCGCAGCAGUUUAUGGCUCAGAGAAUACCCACGUGUUCUUUCACGCCACCUAGCACCCCUGCGCCUCUGCAUGUGGCAGAUCAUGUGAUAUGUUCUGACCAAUGGGCUGUGAGCAAGUUGCGGCCUGCUGGCUCUCUGCUGGCAGCGGAACAUGGAGGGAUGUGUGUGUGCCUGGACUCUGGGUCAGUGCCUGGACUCUGGGUCAGUGCCUGGAAGGGAGCUAUUCUAGAGAGCUGCUGGGCCUUCCCAGGAAAGGCAGCGACAUUCUGUGGGUUGAGCCGCUGAGGUUUUAAAGUUUGUUUGAUAAUUCAGCACAGCUUAGAUGAACCCCAUUAAAACAAUUCCUAUCAUCGUUAUAAAAUGCACCUUCCCAUCGGUCUUCAGUCCAACCUAUCAAACCCAGGUGUUGAUUGUAACAAAAUCAGUUAGCUAGGAUUUCUACCGUCCUCUCAUUCGCUUGGAUUCAACAAAAAGAUGAGUUUUUUCUUUGAUCCUCCCAUAUUGGGUCCAUUUUUCACCAGAUAUAAAAAUUCUUCUCUGCAACAUGAUGUAACAGUUGCCAAUAAUUUGGAAAGUUAAAUAUGCUAAGAAGCGUUGAAAACUUGAAAAGUAAACAAUGAAGGACUCAGACCAAAAGCCCCAUGAAACAAAGUAGGUAUGCACGCGCGCACGCGCGCACACACACACGCACACAAGACAUCAGAAUCCCUUGACAGGCCAGAAGGCAGGCCAGAAGGAAAAGGUUUCAAAUGUAUUAAAUCAUAGGCAAAUUAAGAUCCUGUUUUGCCCAAAGAGGAGAAGGUGAUCUCUUUAUGGUAAAAGCAUCACCACGUAAUCACAAAACCACUUGUUGAAAAAAAAUCCUAAUUUCUAGUCGACCUAGGAAAAUCUGCAACCUAACACGCAGGUGAUGAACUGCCGUCUGCUACCUUCCAGAUUAUGUGGAAUUAAACAUCAUAAAGAUGCUCCUCUUAUAAAAAAAACUGCCACC